rnacentral:rRNA from 1 species
UACGUAGGUGGCAAGCGUUGUCCGGAUUUACUGGGCGUAAAGGGUGCGUAGGCGGACAUUUAAGUCAGAUGUGAAAUACCCGAGCUUAACUUGGGUGCUGCAUUUGAAACUGGGUGUCUAGAGUGCAGGAGAGGUAAGUGGAAUUCCUAGUGUAGCGGUGAAAUGCGUAGAGAUUAGGAAGAACACCAGUGGCGAAGGCGACUUACUGGACUGUAACUGACGCUGAGGCAUGAAAGCGUAGGGAGCAAACAGG